rnacentral:tRNA from 1 species
GCGUGAGGUCGGAAGUUCAAGUCUUCCCAGGCCCACCAUUUUGAUCGAGUGCGGAGCAUUCGUCUUCUGGUACGGGGCCAUAGCUCAGCUGGGAGAGCGCGUGCUUUGCAAGCAUGAGGUCGUCGGUUCGAUCCCGUCUGGCUCCACCAGAUGGAAUUGAAGCUCGAGUAUGCCUCGUCAAUAUCGUCCGCGAAACAUCACUUCGCACUCAUUGGUCCGGAUGGACGGUGACGUGCGUGUUUUCUGACAUCGUAAAGAGGAGAUCGAUCCGAGUUUGGAUCAAGCGAAGCAAUUCGCCUGAGCCAUUCAUUAUCUCCGGGAUCAUUUCGGCGCUCGCGCAUCGCAGUUCAUCGCAAGAUGAGUGAGGUGAGCGGGUUGUAAAUGAUCUCAUUUAGCGAAGCUUGACCGCCUCGCUAUCGGGCCGAUCUUACGAAGCAAGCUGGUCUUUCUAGUCAAUGUCCGGCUGCGCAACCGCAUUCAUCGAGGAUGCGCGUCUGGGACUUCGGUCUUCGGGCAGUUGUGCAGACAACAUUCUGCCGAGUGUGUGGACAUUGAUAAUGAGAGC